rnacentral:rRNA from 1 species
GUCGUGAGACAGUUCGGUCUCUAUCUAUCGUGGGCGCUGGAGUUUUGCGUGGUUCCGCCACUAGUACGAGAGGACCGUGGUGGACAGACCUCCGGUCUGCCGGUUGUGCCGCCAGGUGCACCGCCGGGUAGCCGAGUCUGGCAUGGAUAAGCGCUGAAAGCAUCUAAGCGCGAAGCCUUCCGCAAGAUUAGAACUCCUCAUUAGGGUCGUCACAGACGAUGACGUCGAUAGGGUGCAGGUGUAUAGACGGCGACGUCACAGCCGAGCACUACUAAUAGCCCGAAGCUUUCAUU